rnacentral:rRNA from 1 species
UACGGAGGAUGCGAGCGUUAUCCGGAUUUAUUGGGUUUAAAGGGUGCGUAGGCGGAGUGCCAAGUCAGCGGUAAAAAUUCGGGGCUCAACCCCGUCGUGCCAUUGAAACUGGCGCCCUUGAGUGGGCGAGAAGUAUGCGGAAUGCGUGGUGUAGCGGUGAAAUGCAUAGAUAUCACGCAGAACCCCGAUUGCGAAGGCAGCAUACCGGCGCCCGACUGACGCUGAAGCACGAAAGCGUGGGUAUCGAACAGG